rnacentral:rRNA from 1 species
UACGGGGGGGGUAAGCGUUGUUCGGAAUUACUGGGCGUAAAGGGCUCGUAGGCGGCCAACUAAGUCGGACGUGAAAUCCCUCAGCUUAACUGGGGAACUGCGUCCGAUACUGGAUGGCUUGGAUUUGGGAGAGGGAUGCGGAAUUCCAGGUGUAGCGGCGAAAUGCGUAGAUAUCUGGAGGAACACCGGUGGCGAAGGCGGCAUCCUGGACCAAUAUUGACGCUGAGGAGCGAAAGCUAGGGGAGCAAACGGG